GUAGGUGGCAAGCGUUGUCCGGAAUUAUUGGGCGUAAAGCGCGCGCAGGCGGUCCUUUAAGUCUGAUGUGAAAGCCCACGGCUCAACCGUGGAGGGUCAUUGGAAACUGGGGGACUUGAGUACAGAAGAGGAAAGCGGAAUUCCAAGUGUAGCGGUGAAAUGCGUAGAGAUUUGGAGGAACACCGGUGGCGAAGGCGGCUUUCUGGUCUGUAACUGACGCUGAGGCGCGAAAGCGUGGGGAGCAAACAGGAUUAGAUACCCUGGUAGUCCACGCCGUAAACGAUGAGUGCUAAGUGUUAGGGGGUUUCCGCCCCUUAGUGCUGCAGCUAACGCAUUAAGCACUCCGCCUGGGGAGUACGGCCGCAAGGCUA
rnacentral:rRNA from 1 species